UUCCCCUACUAUAGCAAAAUCCUCCUAUACUUGCUCGUGGACGUAGCUUAAAUUGGAUGAACCACGUAAAUACCUGUGUCUAUUUUUCGUUGUGUUUUCUCAAUUCCAUUAUUUGUAAGCCAAACUCGACCCACGUGUUUUCUCCCCAACAGUGGUAUCAGAGCAAGGUUCUGUAUAGGGUCGUUGUUCAAUCAUAGUAUUGGUGAAAAAUGGCGACAAAAUAUGAAAUUGAAAAGUUCAACGGGAACAAUUUCUCAUUAUGGAAAAUGAGAAUAAAAGCAGUUUUGAGAAAAGAUAACUGCUUGGCGGCAAUUGGACAAAGGCCUGUGGAAAUCAAUGACGAUACUAAGUGGAACGAGAUGGAUAGCAACGCAGUUGCUAAUCUGCACCUUGCACUAGCCGAUGGAGUAUUGUCAAGUGUGGCGGAGAAAAAGACAGCCAAAGAGAUAUGGGAUACGCUGACAAAGCUGUACGAGGCCAAAUCGUUACACAACAAAAUCUUCUUAAAGAGAAAGCUUUACAUCCUUAGGAUGAUGGAGUUAACUACGGUGACAGACCACAUCAACACCCUCAAUACUCUAUUUUCACAACUCACAUCAAUGGAGCAUAAUAUAGAGAUUGGUGAACGUGUUGAAAUCUUACUUCAAAGUCUACCAGAUUCGUAUGAUCAACUCAUCAUCAACUUGACCAACAACCUUGAAACUCUAGUCUUCGAUGAUAUUGCAGCUGCUGUUCUUGAAGAGGAAAGUAGGCGCAAGAACAAGGAGGAUAAAUUGACAAGUUCGAAUCAGGCAGAAGCUAUAACGAUGAUGAGAGGGAGAUCAACGGAACGUGGCUCCAGUAGGAGUCAUAAUCAGAGUAGAUCAAAAUCCAG
rnacentral:lncRNA from 1 species